rnacentral:lncRNA from 1 species
GUGUCACUGAUCUUUAGUUAUUCACCCCUUCUUAGUGUUUGGACCCUUGAAAAGUACCUGUUCUUACUCCUGCAACCAAAUAGUAGCAUGUACAUGUGGAACUAGGUUAUAUGUACCUAUAUUACUACUUUGUUUGGUUGUUUUCUCCCAAAAUGAGUCUUAUGUUGACGGUUAUGAUAGUAGAAAACAUGGUAUAAAUACCGUCAACAAGACCCCCCACACUUGAGUCUUUGCUCGUCCUUGAGUAAAGGUUAAAAAUGAGUGAUCAAUGGUUUCUAACUUAAGAUAGUAGUGAGCAUAAAAUGCUAGUUCGAACAUAGUUCAUCCAAAUGGGUUUUUGUGUAAGUGUCUAGCAUAUAUCCUUCAGAGGUUGAGAAAAGGAACAACUCUCAGAACAAGAUCAAAUUCCAAUUUCAUAUUCUUGGUACUUAGAGUUUUUAUGACACUUUUUAAAAUAAGUCACAUAGUUCAAUCCUACUCCUCAUUUAGCGCUCUAGAUCACUCAAAGUUUUUUUUUAGUAGUCCUCACCAAGGCAUGAAUGCCAACUUGUUUCAUCCUAUAAUUAUAGGCUUAUAUGGGGCUUGGUAGGGAUAAACAAGGUAGCAUACUCUACUUUGCAAAUAUUGUUAAGUCAAAAACAAGGAUCCAAAGAGAGGAGUGUCAUAGUCAUAGAUCAAGAUGUGCAAGUGUGUUAUAUGGUAGACUAGGUUGCUCCUUUAUUUACUACACUCUCUCUACUUGUAUAUUGAGACAUGGCUAGAUUUUCUUUUUCUUCGAGCUUUAUGUGCUCAAUUUUUUUUUCAUGGACUUGCACAUGUCCAUCUUUUCUUUUUCUUUUAUUUUGCCAAGCCCUUUUAUGUCUCAUUUUCUAAACAAUAUUUAGAGAGGUGUUCUAACACUUAGAGUAUGGAGCAACCUAUUUAGUGGAUGCACAAUACAUGUGGUUGCGUACUUCCAGUGUAGAAGCAGCAUAUAUAUAUGUGGUGUGUACGUGAUCUUGAUCUUGUGACUAUGAUACAACUCUCACUAGGGUCAACAAGGUUUUGACAAAACUCAUUACAAAAGCAGGUUGCAUUUCAUAAAAUGGUUACUUGAAUAUCUAAGUGUAUGGCUUUUAGUGGGAAUUUCUUGCUAAUGAGGAGUAAAUGAUACUAUGGUUUUGUGAUAUUUUUGAAACGAAUCUCUAAGUACCUUGAAUAGAAAUGUUAUGAAUUCUUAGCCAAGAGUUAUAUCACUUUCAUCAACAACUUAGUCAAUAUGGUUCCUAUAGAUUUUUACCCAUGAGGAUGAACAAUUGUAAGAACUAUACUUUAUGUCACUAUUUCUCUUAAAUCAUGUACCAGUUCACUUUUUAUUUUGCAAACAAGUUUAAACUAUCAAAUUUUAUUUUAAUUGUGACACAAAGGUAAAGAAUUGGACAGACUGAGAGGGGGAAGAAUUAGCAAACCGGGCAGGAAAGAUGUCUUUCGUCGUAUAGAAGCUGCCUGGUGGGCCCAGGGCUCCAUGGAAGGGUCGGCCGACCCCACCUGGAGGUUCCUGGCCCUGCCACUCGAUUCUACGUCCCUCGGGAAGUCUUUCUGCACUUGUGUCGUUUCCUUUUGCCAUAGAAAGGGGGUCGGGCGACCCCCUCAUCGCGCCUGUUUUUGGUGCCAUGACGUGCCGAGGUGUAUGCAGUGUUGUUCCAUGCCCACGGCAGUUCAGAGAUGAAGUUGGGGGGUCGGGCGACCCCCCCACACUUGCAGUUUUCGUGCAGCUGAACUUACAACAGAGAGAGAUGAUCAA